rnacentral:tRNA from 1 species
AUUUAUUUAGUAUAUUAGUACAUUUGACUUCCAAUCAAAAAGCUUGAAUUAAUCAAAAUAAAUA